GGGGUGGGGGGCGCCGCGGAGGGGGUGGUUAAAUCUGUGAACACGGGAUAAAUUAGUAGGGGAAGAAGUGACCAGAAAAAAAGGGAGAAGGGAGACGUAAAAUAAUGUGGAGAAAAGUAGUAUUAAAGGAUUUACAAGUUUCGAGGAUUGAUGCAAACUUGGUGGCUAAUAGAGCUGAAUGGCGAAAAAGGAUCUAUAUUGCCGACCCCAACUAGCUUGGGAUUAAAACUGUUGUUGUUGGGUUAAAUCUGCCAAUAACCAAACCAAAUCAAUAAAUAGAAGAGCACAAAUCUUUUAUGUGGUUUUAUUCCAAUAGAGUAGGUUAUUCCUUAUGUGUAACAUCAGAACCACCUUUAGCAAUCCUGGUUCAAAUAAUUACAUGGGCAUUUAUCAUCCAUUUUACUAUCUCUUCACACUUGCCCCACUUGGGAUUUUUUUUCUUCCAAUUUUAAUUUUAGCUCCUUGUGUCCUUCCAUUUCUCUCAUUUCUACUUUCCCUUCUCUAUAUUCCAGACAGAAACUUUAGCACAUCCUCAAUUUCCUCCCUAUUUCAUUUGGCUUCCCAUUUGUUUCAUCCUUUUCUUGUCCUUUAAAUUGCUUUAUCUAUUUCUCAUCCUUAAGUAAUUCCAAGCUUGU
rnacentral:misc_RNA from 1 species